rnacentral:rRNA from 1 species
GGUCGACGAGUGGCGGACGGGUGAGUAACGCGUAGGAAUCUACCUAGUAGUGGGGGAUAGCCAAGGGAAACUUUGGGUAAUACCGCAUACGAUCUAAGGAUGAAAGGGGGCCUCUCUUUGAAGCUCUCGCUAUUAGAUGAGCCUGCGUAAGAUUAGCUUGUUGGUGGGGUAAUGGCCCACCAAGGCGACGAUCUUUAGCUGGUCUGAGAGGAUGAUCAGUCACACUGGAACUGAGACACGGUCCAGACUCCUACGGGAGGCAGCAGUCGGGAAUAUUGGACAAUGGGGGAAACCCUGAUCCAGCCAUGCCGCGUGUGUGAAGAAGGCCCUAGGGUUGUAAAGCACUUUUAGUAGUGAGGAAGGCUCA